rnacentral:rRNA from 1 species
UUGAUAGCAACUUACUCAUAAUCCGCCAGGGAACUACAAGCAUUGGCUUGAAACCCAAAGGACUUGGCGGUGCUUUAAACCCACCUAGAGGAGCCUGUUCUAGAACUGAUAACCCCCGUUUAACCUCACCCUGCUUUGUCAUUUCCGCCUAUAUACCGCCGUCGUCAGCUUACCUUGUGAAAGAUUAUUAGUGAGCAAGAUUGGUACAACCCAAAACGUCAGGUCGAGGUGUAGUAUAUGGCAGGGGAAGAAAUGGGCUACAUUUAUCUAUCGAUAAACACGAAUUAUUUAUUGAAAAAUAAAGCUGAAGGAGGAUUUAGCAGUAAGAAGAAAAUAGAGAGUUCUUCUGAAAUAGGCUCUGAAGCGCGCACACACCGCCCGUCACUCUCCCUUAUCUAAUAAAAUUAAGUUAAACAUCUGAAAAAUUAAGGGGAGACAAGUCGUAACAUGGUAAGUGUACCGGAAGGUGCACUUGGAAUAC